GUAGGUGGCAAGCGUUGUCCGGAAUUAUUGGGCGUAAAGCGCGCGCAGGCGGUUUUUUAAGUCUGAUGUGAAAGCCCACGGCUCAACCGUGGAGGGUCAUUGGAAACUGGAGAACUUGAGUACAGAAGAGGAAAGCGGAAUUCCACGUGUAGCGGUGAAAUGCGUAGAGAUGUGGAGGAACACCAGUGGCGAAGGCGGCUUUCUGGUCUGUAACUGACGCUGAGGCGCGAAAGCGUGGGGAGCAAACAGGGAUUAGAUACCCUGGUAGUCCACGCCGUAAACGAUGAGUGCUAAGUGUUAGGGGGUUUCCCGCCCCUUAGUGCUGCAGCUAACGCAUUAAGCACUCCGCCUGGGGUAGUACGGCCGCAAGGCUG
rnacentral:rRNA from 1 species